GAGUUUGAUCAUGGCUCAGGAUGAACGCUUGCUUGAGGACUUGUCUUCAAGCGGGAGUGGCGAACGGGUGAGUAAUACAUAAGCAAUCUGCCCAUCGGCCUGGGAUAACAGUUGGAAACGACUGCUAAUACCGGAUAGGUGAUGAAGAGGCAUCUCUUGAUCAUUAAAGUUGGGAUACAACACGGAUGGAUGAGCUUAUGGCGUAUUAGCUGGUAGGUGAGGUAACGGCUCACCUAGGCGAUGAUACGUAGCCGACCUGAGAGGGUGACCGGCCACAUUGGGACUGAGACACGGCCCAAACUCCUACGGGAGGCAGCAGUAGGGAAUUUUCGGCAAUGGGCGAAAGCCUGACCGAGCAACGCCGCGUGAGUGAAGAAGGCCUUCGGGUUGU
rnacentral:rRNA from 1 species